rnacentral:rRNA from 1 species
CCGCCGCGGGAAUACGUAGGGUGCAAGCGUUAAUCGGAAUUACUGGGCGUAAAGCGUGCGCAGGCGGUUCGGAAAGAAAGGUGUGAAAUCCCAGGGCUUAACCUUGGAACUGCACUUUUAACUACCGGGCUAGAGUGUGUCAGAGGGGGGUGGAAUUCCGCGUGUAGCAGUGAAAUGCGUAGAGAUGCGGAGGAACACCGAUGACGAAGGCAGCCCCCUGGGAUAACACUGACGCUCAUGCACGAAAGCGUGGGGAGCAAACAGGAUUAGAUACCCCAGUAGUCCCUGUCUCUUAUACACA